GACGAACGCUGGCGGCGUGCUUAACACAUGCCAGUCGAACGGAAAGGCCCUGCUUUUGUGGGGUGCUCGAGUGGCGAACGGGUGAGUAACACGUGAGUAACCUGCCCUUGACUUUGGGAUAACUUCAGGAAACUGGGGCUAAUACCGGAUAGGAGCUCCUGCUGCAUGGUGGGGGUUGGAAAGUUUCGGCGGUUGGGGAUGGACUCGCGGCUUAUCAGCUUGUUGGUGGGGUAGUGGCUUACCAAGGCUUUGACGGGUAGCCGGCCUGAGAGGGUGACCGGCCACAUUGGGACUGAGAUACGGCCCAGACUCCUACGGGAGGCAGCAGUGGGGAAUAUUGCACAAUGGGCGGAAGCCUGAUGCAGCAACGCCGCGUGCGGGAUGACGGCCUUCGGGUUGUAAACCGCUUUCGCCUGUGACGAAGCGUGAGAGACGGUAAUGGGUAAAGAAGCACCGGCUAACUACGUG
rnacentral:rRNA from 1 species